rnacentral:rRNA from 1 species
CCUACGGGAGGCAGCAGUGGGGAAUAUUGGGCAAUGGAGGCAACUCUGACCCAGCAACGCCGCGUGAAUGAUGACGGUCUUCGGAUUGUAAAGUUCUUUUCUUAGAGAAGAAGAAAGUGACGGUACCUUAGGAAUAAGCCUCCGCUAACUACGUGCCAGCAGCCGCGGUAAUACGUAGGAGGCAAGUGUUAUCCGGAAUUACUGGGCGUAAAGGGUGCGUUGGUGGUUUGACAAGUUAGUAGCGAAACUCCGGAGCUCAACUUCGGAACGACAACUAAAACUGGUGGACUUGAGUGCAGGAGAGGCAAGCGGAAUUCCUUGUGUAGCGGUGGAAUGCGUAGAUAUUAGGAGGAACACCAGUGGCGAAGGCGGAUUGCUAGACUGUAACUGACACUGAGGCACGAAAGCGUGGGGAGCAAACAGGAUUAGAUACCCUAGUAGUC